AUGAAUGGGUCACAUUACAAGCUCAGAGGCUAUUUGGGAUGGCAUCUCUAUAUUUCUAUUAAUUGGAAUGUUUGCUAUAUAGUUCAAGGGCCAUCUGCAGAGGAAUGGGAUAGGCAAAUGGUCUCCUCUAGUUCUGCUUGCACAGAUAUUUCUCAAGAAUCAGGCCUUUUUCUUAGCCAAGUGCCUUGAACUUAUUACAAAAAUUUUACUUUUUUUUUUUUUUUGCCCUGAAUUUCUUAAUUGAACUUGGAGAAUUACACCCAGGAGAAAUGGAAACUUUUUUAACUUCUUUAGGUUUCAGAAUAACAAAGUUAAAUUGUUAAGGGAGUUGGAAGGUCCCUAAAAGCAGUAGGAGACUUUAGUAGUGAAGUUCUAGGGAUUGCCCUUUGGAAGAUUUUUGGAGAAAAUCAUAGGGGGUGAUUUGGGCAGAACAAAUCUUCAUAUCAUUAUUUCUCUUAAGAAAUUAUUAAACAGUUUUUAAUUAACAUGAGCUAUGUAUGUUGACAUAGUGAGUCAGGCAACAAUUGGGUUGAUGUUUUGCAAACUAGGAACAUCCAUGUCCUUUUCUAUUAUAAUCUUCUGAUAAAAAUACCUCUGCACAACCCACUUUAAUACAGUUUUCUUAGAAUACUAUCAAAAUUGCGAAUUUUAGAAUCUUUUACUCUUUUGAGCACUACACUAGACUCUCAAGAAAGACUUUGCUGAAGAUCACCUUUAAAUAUUGAAGCACACUUUAACCAAAAGUGAAGAUGUGCAUUCCAUGUGCUGAGGUAAAUGGGAACAGACAUUAGCCAUCUCCCGUAAUCUCAGAUUUACAGAAUUUAUUAAUAGGUCUUAGCUAUGCCAGGAAACCAGAAUAAAGAUCUUUACUUUAAAGAGAAACACUAGUUGAUAGAAAAAAUAUUGAGAUGAAAAAUGAGUUUUGAAGGUGGGAUAAAACUUUUGACAAUGUGUUCCAGAUUUUCUCAUUUGCCUAGACAAGUCAUUGAACUCCCUCAAGUAUAUGUCAACUAUUUUUUUGCAUUUAAAAUUGUUUAUUGAUGUACAGUUGAUUUACAAUAUGUGUCAGUGUCUAGUGUAUGGCAAGGUGAUUCAGUCAAAUAUAUACACAUAUUCUUUUUCAUUAUGGUUUAUUAUAGGAUUUACAUAUAUUAUAGUUCCCUGAAUUAUCUGUCAAUUUUAAAAAGAGAAGGGUUGGGUUA
rnacentral:lncRNA from 1 species